AGUUCUUGAUAUAUCCAUCUAAAAUAAAUAAAAUG
rnacentral:sRNA from 2 species